AAGAUGAGGAUGAUGAAAAUCAGAAAAAUGAAGAGGAAGAAGAAGAAAUUGGCGAAGAUGAUUAUCAUCAGAACUUUGAGUUUGCUGAUGACGAAGAUUAUUUGGAUAUGUCCAUGAUGGUGGCAAUGGCAAGCUUAAAUUUGUGUCCAUUUAAUACUAUUUUAUUUAAUAAAAAUAUUUAUAAUAAAUUAAAUUUGCCAAUGUAGCCUUUGCUAAUACAGUUUAUCACUAUCUUAAUGGAAGAUACCAGUGAUCACUUCUAACCAUAGCAAGCACAAGCGUUUGAUAUAGUCUCCAGUUUCAAGUAGGUUUAGCUUAAUACCCUCAGGAAAUAUAUCAAUGUAUAACGACUUUCUUUUUUUUUAUGUAUUGCAUGUUUCAUUA